rnacentral:rRNA from 1 species
CCUACGGGAGGCAGCAGUGAGGAAUAUUGGUCAAUGGGCGGGAGCCUGAACCAGCCAAGUCGCGUGAGGGAAGACGGUCCUAUGGAUUGUAAACCUCUUUAGGCGGGGAGCAAUGCCGGGCACGUGUGCCCGGAGGGAGAGUACCCGCAGAAUAAGCAUCGGCUAACUCCGUGCCAGCAGCCGCGGUAAUACGGAGGAUGCGAGCGUUAUCCGGAUUUAGUGGGUUUAAAGGGUGCGUAGGCGGAUUUUUAAGUCAGCGGUAAAAUGUCCGGGCUCAACCCGGGCCGGCCGUGGACACUGGGGAUCUUGAGUGGGCGAGAAGUAUGCGGAAUGCGUGGUGUAGCGGUGCAAUGCAUAGAUAUCACGCAGAACUCCGAUUGCGAAGGCAGCAUACCGGCGCCCGACUGACGCUGAGGCACGAAAGCGUGGGGAUCGAACAGGAUUAGAUACCCCUGUAGUC